GAUGAAGAACGUAGCGAAAUGCGAUAAGUAAUGUGAAUUGCAGAAUUCAGUGAAUCAUCGAAUCUUUGAACGCACAUUGCGCCCGCCAGUAUUCUGGCGGGCAUGCCUGUUCGAGCGUCAUUUCAACCAUCAAGCCCCAGGCUUGUGUUGGGGACCUGCGGCUGCCGCAGGCCCUGAAAAUCAGUGGCGGGCUCGCUGUCACACCGAGCGUAGUAGCAUACAUCUCGCUCUGGGCGUGCUGCGGGUUCCGGCCGUUAAACCACCUUCAUAACCCAAGGUUGACCUCGGAUCAGGUAGGAAGACCCGCUGAACUUAAGCAUAUCAAUAAGCGGAGGA
rnacentral:misc_RNA from 1 species